rnacentral:rRNA from 1 species
GACGAACCGUGCGAACGUUAUUCGGAAUCACUGGGCUUAAAGCGCGUGUAGGCGGGGUGGCACGUCGGUCGCUGAAAGCCCCCGGCUCAACCGGGGAAGGGGCGCCGAUACGACCACCCUGGAGGGACGUAGGGGGACCUGGAACUUCCGGUGGAGCGGUGAAAUGCGUAGAUAUCGGGAAGAACACCAGUGGCGAAAGCGCUCUACUGGGCCAUAACUGACACUGAGGGACGAAAGCUAGGGGAGCGAAAGGG